GACAACGAAUCGUUUUCCUUCUAGAACUUACACCCACAACAACCCGGAAGUCUCGUGUCCUUUGAGAGAACACGAUUAUGUGUUUACCGGGACACUAUUUUGAAUUCUGAUCGAGUAUGUCAUUAAUUUUAUGAUGCCUUUCUGAACCGAUAACAAAAAUAAAAUCCACACGUUUCCAUGGUAACGGACGUGGCGUUCUCCAUCGGACAAUCAUGGCGGAUGAUUUGGACGAUUUACUUGAUGAAGUCGAAUCAAAGUUUUGUUGCAACACUUCGGAGUCUAAACAGACAAGCCGUGUUAUGAAACAUACGGAUCAAAAGUGUGACAAUCUCGAAGAAAGGAAACUGCCAAGAAAACAAGGACGUAAAAGAGUUGAAAAUGAGAUAGAUAUUGACGCUAUGCUGCAUGAAAUACUGGAUGAUGAUGUUGAUACACCAACCAGCACACAUGAACCCAGUCCAGCAAAGGCAUCCUCAAGUGCUCAGACAAUCUC
ensembl:processed_transcript